GGGUUGUAAACUGCUUUUGUACGGAACGAAAAGACUCUUUCUAAUAAAGAGGGUCCAUGACGGUACCGUAAGAAUAAGCACCGGCUAACUACGUGCCAGCAGCCGCGGUAAUACGUAGGGUGCAAGCGUUAAUCGGAAUUACUGGGCGUAAAGCGUGCGCAGGCGGUUAUGUAAGACAGAUGUGAAAUCCCCGGGCUCAACCUGGGAACUGCAUUUGUGACUGCAUAGCUAGAGUACGGUAGAGGGGGAUGGAAUUCCGCGUGUAGCAGUGAAAUGCGUAGAUAUGCGGAGGAACACCGAUGGCGAAGGCAAUCCCCUGGACCUGUACUGACGCUCAUGCACGAAAGCGUGGGGAGCAAACAGGAUUAGAUACCCUGGUAGUCCACGCCCUAAACGAUGUCAACUGGUUGUUGGGUCUUCACUGACUCAGUAACGAAGCUAAACGUCGUGAAGUUGA
rnacentral:rRNA from 1 species